rnacentral:tRNA from 1 species
GCGGACGUGGCGAAAUUGGCAGACGCGCUAGAUUUAGGUUCUAGUGCCGAAAGGCGUGGGAGUUCGAGUCUCCCCGUCCGCACCA